rnacentral:rRNA from 1 species
UACGGAGGGUGCAAGCGUUGCUCGGAAUUAUUGGGCGUAAAGGGUAGGUAGGUGGUCUCAUUUGUCUAGGGUGAAAGCCUUGAGCUUAACUCAAGAAGUGCCCUAGAAACGGUGAGACUGGAGUACUGGAGAGGGUCGUGGAAUUCCCGGUGUAGCGGUGAAAUGCGUAGAGAUCGGGAGGAACACCAGAGGCGAAGGCGGCGACCUGGACAGUUACUGACACUCAACUACGAAAGCGUGGGGAGCAAACAGG